GGUAGACAAGACUAUAGAUGACGUGACCCCUACUUUCAUACACCAAGACAUCACAGACCUCGAAGAUGAUACUCCACAUACACCCCUUCAAUCACAUCAGUUCAAACAAACAACUGCUUUCCUGUAGGGACAGUAUAGGGAAAGCGUCUGUCUUAACUGGCAAGUCUCACGUGUGGAGAUGUAGUGGACUAGCCACUGCGGGUUACCCGCGGAGUGAAGUGUUCGAUGCUAGUUAAGACAGAUAGGUUGCAGGCAACUAGGGACAUAUUAGGGACAGUAGCAGUUGUUAUGGUAAAUAGCCAUUUUAGGGGGGACUGUUGUGGAAAUAAAGUCUGCACAUAUUUCCUAGUUAGUGAAAAAUGUCUAUUUACUCAUUUC